rnacentral:rRNA from 1 species
UACGUAGGGGGCAAGCGUUGUUCGGAAUUACUGGGCGUAAAGGGCGCGUAGGCGGCACGGCAAGUCGGGAGUGAAAGCCCGGGGCUCAACCCCGAAACUGCACUUGAUACUGCCUUGCUAGAGUACUGGAGAGGAGAUUGGAAUUUACGGUGUAGCAGUGAAAUGCGUAGAUAUCGUAAGGAAGACCAGUGGCGAAGGCGAAUCUCUGGACAGUUACUGACACUGAGGCACGAAGGCCAGGGGAGCAAACGGG